AUUUCAUGUGACUGGUGAUUACUUAGCACAUAGUGAUCCUUUUGAAUCUUCAUAAAAAAUCAUAUAAAAUAGUUGUUAAUGUUUCUUAAUUUUACAGAUGAAGAAAAGGAUUCAGAGAGUAUCUUUGAGACUUCACACAAGAAAGUGCAACAGUGACUUAGGACAGGGUUCUCAGAGCUUGGAUGUGUACAGCCUCUCUCUCACCGAACGUCCCCUCCUCCCCAAACCAGCUCAUCCAUGAGUGUAUUAGAUUUGUCUGAAUUUACUGAAAAAUCUUAGGGAAAUUUAAAAGUUGUAUAAGAACAGCAUAUGAGCCAACAUGAGCACUGAUAUCUCAAAAGAGCAAUUUUGUCUAUUUAUUUGGCUUUCCUCUUUCAUUAACUCAUAUUUUACCUCAUUCCAGAAAUGAUCUGAUAUGGCAAGCUGUUGGUAUUGUUGUCAUUUUAUUUGUCAUUAACUUGUAGGGCCCUGAAGGAGUGCAGAGUUGGUGAGAAGCCUGAGGUUCUCUGGGGUGGGAAGUAGCAGCUGGAAGAGAGGCAGAGGAGAAAGGCUCCCCAUCCUCGACUCGGCUCACACUCCGCUUGGGGCUAACCAUGGCUGUGAAGACGGCACACAGACAUUCUGAGACGCGAACUGCAUCUGGCAUGAACUAACUGCGAACAUUCUUAGAGAAGAGCCACAUAGGGGCAUCUGGAUCUUUUUUGAAAAAAUGUAAAAUAGCAAUACAGAAACAUUUUAUUCAUUCAAAUCAAAUUACGAACAAUCCUGAGUUCUCUACAAGCUUCAGUUCAAAACAGACCUUUGAUGUCUUUCAAGUUUAAAGCACUAUUUUCAAUUGUGACUUUUAGAGUUGGAAGAGCCCUGGCAGUUUGAACUCAAGUAAAUGGUAUGUGAAUGUGUGGCUUUAUUCUUGAUUUAAUUCAAAAUACCAUCUUAUUGCUUAAUAGUUCCCCUUCCAAUUAGAAGAAAGAUUGGUUUCUCCGAAGUGGAGGGAUUGGGGUUAACAAGAUUAUUAUUCCUGGACUUCUAAGAGAAGGAAGGAAAAUAGGGGGAUUGUUUUCCACAAAUCCCACUGUGUGUUACGUGGGAAAGUUGAGUGCACAAAGGGGAUGCUGGCCAGGUAGUCCUGGCGUGGUCCUAUUAGGGUGAGAGAUUCUGAGCACAGCUUCUGAAAUCUCUGGAGUGCUUUCGCUCUACAGGAAAACGUACAUUCAGUGACAGGCCACAUGUGGGUAGUUAACAAGGGGAAGGGACAGAUAGUAACAACUAACCCUUAGUAUGUAUUAAAACUGUUCUCAGUGCUUUCAGAGAUUAUUUAAUUCUCACAAUAGGCCAACAUAUGAGAAAAUAGGACCAGAGAGGUACUGUCCAAGCUCACAUGAGUAAAUGGUAAAGCCAAGCUUCAAACCAAAGCAAGUUGGUUCCAGAAUCCAGGCUUUUAAUCACUAACCUACAUCAUCUCCCCAAAUGAGAGCAAACAUACAGCAAUACUGUUCUAAGUGCUUUAUCCAUAUUAACUCUUUUAAUUUUCACAGCAACCCCAUGACACAGGAUUUAUUCUUGUUCUCCUUUUACAGCUGAGGAAACUGAAGCACAGAUUAGUUAAAAGGUUAAGAUGAUCAUUAACGUUGAGGGUGUGCUUAAAGACAAGACUGCCUCUUCUUAAAGUCUGUUUGAAGGGCACUCAGCAUGUGCAGAAUUGAGCUCUGAUCCCCACCACCUUCUUUUUUCCCUGGGGUUCCCCUUACAUGGGUAGAUCCAUGCUGCACAACCUCUGAAGUCUUUGGUCUAAGCAUAGGGAUAAUUUUGGUUCCUGGUGCCUCUUGUCAUGGUUGGGAUUUUAAAAAAAGACACUAAAUAUAGAGGAGGAACAGGACACACUUCCUGUGCACUGAGCUCUACACCUUGAACGAGUGCUGUUUUAGCAACAAGGUUCUGAGGCAACUUACACAGGCACCUCCUGCACAGGCCUGCCCUCCAUGGGCGCCAUCUUCCUAAGUCUUCCCCUUUGACACCACAGUCAAGAAGCGCUUGGGUCUCCUCCUCAGGUGCUUGUCGUCUACUGGUAAUUAACGAAAUGGAUGAUGUCACUCUUCUGAUGAAAACAUCUGCUUCCCUAUAGCAAUAGAUGUUUAGGCGGUUGGCCAGGAGGAGGAAUGUGUAGACCCAAAGAGAUAUCUUGUUAGUUACUUUAUCUAUUAGCAGAAAAUGAGGUCCGGUGACUGGAUGAUUGUGUCACCAAGAGUGACAGAAAAUCCAAAAGAAAAAGAAAGAGUGGUUCUCUUCCAUUCACAGGUUCUUUUCAAUACAAGUGUUCCUUUAUUUCUUGGAACUUCAGUUUUCUUAUAUGCAAAGUGAAUUUAUUGAAAAGUCCUCUAAAUUCUAGCUAAUUCUUGUAGUCCCUGAAUUUUGCACUCAUUUUAAGAGAAAUUUUGAGACAAUAAAAUGGAUUAUCAGUAAUAAUAUUUGUAUUUUAACUUGCAACUAAAUUAAUAUUUCUUUUUUAAUUUGUUUUCUAUUUUUUCUGUGUUUAGUUUUCAAACUAAAGAAAACAGGCUGUAUUGUGCAUAUAGUAUCUACAAUCGCACAUUCAACAACUGAAUUAUAUCAUUCUCAGUUUUAAUUAAAGAAAUGAUCAGAAUCCCUAAAGAAAGUAAUGCUGUGUUCAUUUACUCAAUUACUUUCAUAGUUUUCUAUUGAAUGCCUUCCUGAAACUGUCCUCACUCCCCCUCACUGCUUCUCCAAGGUAUAGAAAUAGGCAGCCCCAUACUGCCACAUGUCUGACUAUGUUACAUGUGUGUUAUACCAUAUUAUCCUGGAUAAUGAGUCAUCCCAUCUGACUGGCUGGGAACCAUAAGGUGUUCUCCUUUUCUUAAGAUUUUUGCCCUUUGAAAUAAUCUUUCUGUUUCUCCUCACACCAACGAGUCCCUAUUCUUAGAUGCUUCUGGAGUUUCCAUAUCUGAGUUCUUCUGGCAAUGAUGGCCAGAAAGAAAGGAGAAGAAAGGAAACCACCAGUAGCUGUCUUUCUGCUGCCUGUCUGAGUACAGCCAAUAAACGGGAUUGAGUGGCAACUAACAAAAACUAACUUACUCUUGUCAAAAAGAUCUCCACAUCAGAGAACAAGACCUGGAAGCUGUAAGAAGCCUGGAUCCACACAAAUGGCUGCUUAGCAUUCAAAUACUCCCCUCCCAGAACACUUGAUGUGUUUCUUGAAUAUCUGACUUACUCUGCUGGCCAUCUACUGACAAAAGGAAUCUCUCCCCAGAUGAAAAUUUCUCUGGCUCUUUCUCUUUGUUUGUUUUUGGUGUUGUUUAAGAAACAGCAUUUCGAAUUCCCUCAGCCUUCCAAGAAAGCAGGCAGAUGUGUAAAUUAGAUUCCAAAGCACUAAGACUUCUACAUCUUAAUAAGCUGGGACGCAACCAUGCCCUGGAAGCAAAAGUGAAUAGAAUUCCCACAUUCACGAAGGGUCUACUGUUGAUUUUCUAAAAAGGAACAAAACGGUAACCAGAUGGUAGUUGACAGGGCAACUUUAAAGACAAGUAUUUGUUUUGAUCUCAUUCCUAAGGGAAAGAAAGUUAGAUAAUUAAUAGCAGGAAAGAACAGGAGAGAAAGGCAAGAGAAGAAGAAAUACCAAAGAUAAUGUAUAAAGGGAAAUGUGAGGAGCAAUGGAUGUUGGAAAAUAAAGGGAAAAUUUAGCCAGUUCUAGAAAAAUAGAAAAUGGGAUGAAAUGAAAUAUAACUGCACAUUUUUCAUGAAAUGGUUGCCUAGGAAACAACUAGGAGUGUUUCUCCCUGUACUGAAUAAUUGUUGAGAAACACACUGGACUUAGGGUCUCUUGGCUUUACUGGUAUCAACUGGGAAACUUAUGUGUCAGGUAUCGUAGUUAUGAGCACCAAUACUUUCUAUAUCAUGCUUCUAACAACAGAAGUAGCCAGUUUCAACAAUUUUGGAGGGUAAUAGCAGAGGAAUUGUAAGAUUGAAACCUACAAACACAGGCAGGGUGAGACUUGAAAAUCAGAUUAGUCUAGGAUGACGAUGACACAUUAGUAUGUGUAACACUAAGCAACAAACCGUGGAAAAGUCAAUUAGAAAAGCAGCUGAAGGCCCAUUUGGCAAUGUGAGAUCAUCUUUACAGCUUGCCCGGUAUCCCGUUGAAAACCAGUUUUCCAUAUAAAGAACUUGGUGCACUUAAAGUCAUAUAAUGUGAAGGCAAAAUUUCACAUUACAAAGCAGUUCUUCAUCUUCCGUUAGCGUACAGCCCCUAUGGAUCUUAUUAUCACUUUUUUGCUUUUAAUCUAAUAAAAACAAACAGCAUUAAAAAAUGCUUUACUGCUCCCAUUUGAGUUUGUCUUUUCUAUAGUUUAGUGAAUUUUGCAGAAAAUGUUUAUAUACAUUGUCUUAAAUAAACCCAUCUCUAUAAA